GCAAGUCGAGGGGUAACAGAGAAGCUUGCUUUUGCUGACGACCGGCGCACGGGUGAGUAACGCGUAUGAAACCUGCCCUUUACAGGGGGAUAGCCACGGGAAACUGUGAUUAAUACCCCAUUGUACUACUCUGAGGCAUCUCUAGGUAGUUAAAGCUUCGGCGGUAAAGGAUGGUCAUGCGUGACAUUAGUUAGUUGGUAAGGUAACGGCUUACCAAGACAACGAUGUCUAUGGGGUCUUAAAGGAUGGUC
rnacentral:rRNA from 1 species